UACGUAGGGUGCGAGCGUUAAUCGGAAUUACUGGGCGUAAAGCGUGCGCAGGCGGUUGUGCAAGUCUGAUGUGAAAGCCCCGGGCUUAACCUGGGAACGGCAUUGGAGACUGCACGACUAGAGUACGUCAGAGGGGGGUAGAAUUCCACGUGUAGCAGUGAAAUGCGUAGAGAUGUGGAGGAAUACCGAUGGCGAAGGCAGCCCCCUGGGAUGAUACUGACGCUCAUGCACGAAAGCGUGGGGAGCAAACAGGAUUAGAUACCCUGGUAGUCCACGCCCUAAACGAUGUCAAUUAGCUGUUGGGGGUUUGAAUCCUUGGUAGCGUAGCUAACGCGUGAAAUUGACCGCCUGGGGAGUACGGCCGCAAGGUUAAA
rnacentral:rRNA from 1 species